rnacentral:rRNA from 1 species
UACAGAGGUCUCAAGCGUUGUUCGGAUUCAUUGGGCGUAAAGGGUGCGUAGGUGGCGCGCUAAGCCGGGUGUGAAAUUUCGGAGCUUAACUCCGAAACUGCAUUUGAUACUGGCGUGCUUGAGGACUGGAGAGGAGACUGGAAUUUACGGUGUAGCAGUGAAAUGCGUAGAGAUCGUAAGGAAGACCAGUGGCGAAGGCGGGUCUCUGGACAGUUCCUGACACUGAGACACGAAGGCCAGGGGAGCAAACGGG